rnacentral:rRNA from 1 species
CCGCGUGAGUGAUGAAGGCCUUCGGGUUGUAAAGCUCUUUUAUCGGUGAAGAUAAUGACGGUAACCGAUGAAUAAGCACCGGCUAACUUCGUGC